rnacentral:rRNA from 1 species
UACGAAGGGGACUAGCGUUGUUCGGAAUUACUGGGCGUAAAGCGCACGUAGGCGGACGUGUCAGUCAGGGGUGAAAUCCCAGAGCUCAACUCUGGAACUGCCUUUGAUACAGCAUGUCUAGAAUCCGGUAGAGGUGGGUGGAAUUCCUAGUGUAGAGGUGAAAUUCGUAGAUAUUAGGAAGAACACCAGUGGCGAAGGCGGCCCACUGGACCGGUAUUGACGCUGAGGUGCGAAAGCGUGGGGAGCAAACAGG